rnacentral:rRNA from 1 species
AUGGGGUGCAAGGGGUCCAAGCACGCGCUGCAUGGCGGCGGCGGCGCCGCGCUGGAGCCGCGGAAGUGCGCGUCGGGGCUCGUGGCGCGCCACUCCGUCGCGCUCAGGUCGUCCACGCUCGGCACGCUCAGCCUCGACCGCGCCACGGCCGCCGCGGCGGUUUCUUUCGCCGGAGGGGAGGGGGCGGGGGCGACGGCGACGACUGCGAGGCCCGGGAAGGAGGGCGUGUCGGGGAGGUGCCGGUCCUUCGCCGGGUGGUUCCCGGCGUCGCCCAAGGUGGAGCCGGGCCAGCCGGUGAAGCGGCAGAGGCUGGCGCCCCCGCGGACGCCCACCAAGACGCCCGCGCGCGACCCCGAGGAGAUCAACGUGUGGGAGCUCAUGGACGGGCUCGACGACGACGGUGCGGAGGACGAAGAAUACGAUGAUUGCCUGGACGGGCAGGUUCCGUCGGCGUGCGGAUCGCCCGAGUUCGACCCCGACGUCCUGUCCGCGUUCCGGGAGGCGCUCGCCGAGCUGUCGCCCCCACACCCGGACGCCGACGUCGUGAGCGACGGAGGAGCCGUCGUCAAAAAGGAGGAAAUCCAGGUGCUCGACGACGUCGCGAGCGACGGAGGAGCCGUCGUCAAGAAGGAGGAAAUCCAGGUGCUCGCCGACGUCGCGAGCGACGGAGGGGCCGUCGUCAAGAAGGAGGAAAUCCAGGUGUUCGGCGGAGCCAUCGUCAAGAAGGAGGAAAUCCAGGUGUUCGCUGACGUCGCGAGCGACGGCGGAGCCAUCGUCAAGAAGGAGGAAAUCCAGGUGUUCGCCGGCGUCGUGCGGGCGCGGCUCGACGUGCUCCAGGGAAGGAUCGACAGCAGGUCACAAAAGAAUCCCCCGCCGCCCCCGCCCCCGCCGGAGAGCGCGAGGCGGGUGGUUGUGUACCUGACGAGCCUCCGCGGCAUCCGGCAGACGUACGAGGACUGCUGGGCGGCGAGCACGAUCCUGUCCAGCUACGGCGUGCACGUGGACGAGCGCGACCUGUCGAUGCACGCCGGGUACAAGGAGGAGCUGCGCGACGCGCUCGGCGCAGGUGCCCCCGCCUCAGGCACCGGCGUGCUGCCGCAGGUGUUCGUCGACGGCUGGCACCUGGGCGGCGCCGAGGAGGUGCGCCGCAUGCACGAGUCCGGGGAGCUGGCGGAGGCCCUCGAGGCCUGCGAGCCUGCGCCGGGCGCCGCCGGCGGCGGGAAAGAGGGGCCGGGGGGCUUCGCUGCGGAGCCGUGCGGCGGGUGCGGGGGCGCGCGGUUCGUGCCGUGCGACGUCUGCUCCGGCAGUUGCAAGGUGUUCGUCGAGGACGAGGACGGCCCCGGGGCGUUCAGGCGGUGCCCGGACUGCAACGAGAACGGGCUACUGAGAUGUCCAAUCUGUUAA